rnacentral:rRNA from 1 species
GAAUCCCGUCUUUGGCACGGAAACCCCAGGGCUUUUGUGAUGCGCUCUCGAAGAGUCGAGUUGUUUGGGAAUGCAGCUCAAAAUGGGUGGUGAACUCCAUCUAAAGCUAAAUAUUGGCGAGAGACCGAUAGCGAACAAGUACCGUGAGGGAAAGAUGAAAAGCACUUUGGAAAGAGAGUGAAACAGUACGUGAAAUUGUUGAAAGGGAAACGCUUGAAGUCAGUCGCGUCGGCCGAGACUCAGCCUUGCCUCGGCUUGGUGUACUUCUCGGCUGACGGGUCAGCAUCAAUUUUGCCCCUUGGAUAAUGGCGAGGGAAAUGUGACACCUUUACGGUGUGUUAUAGUCUCUUGUCGCAUGCAAGGGUUGGGAUUGAGGAACUCAGCACGCACCUUUGGGUGUCGGGGCUUUGCCCACGAUACGUGCUUAGGAUGUUGGCGUAAUGGCUUUAAACGACCCGUCUUGAAACACGGACCAAGGAGUCUAACAUGCCUGCGAGUGUUCGGGUGGAAAACUCGUGCGCGCAAUGAAAGUGAAAGUUGGGACCUCUGUCGUGGAGGGCACCGACGCCCGGACCAGACCUUCUGUGACGGCUCUGCGGUAAAGCAUGUAUGUUAGGACCCGAAAGAUGGUGAACUAUGCCUGAAUAGGGUGAAGCCAGAGGAAACUCUGGUGGAGGCUCGUAGCGAUUCUGACGUGCAAAUCGAUCGUCAAAUUUGGGUAUAGGGGCGAAAGACUAAUCGAACCAUCUAGUAGCUGGUUCCUGCC